UAGCCAUAUCAUGUUGAAAUACCAGUACUCAUACAAUCACCAAAGUUAAGCAACGUUAAGCCUGGUCAGUACCUAGAUGGGUUAAUGCUUAGGAAUACCAGGUGCUGUG